GACGAACGCUGGCGGCGUGCUUAACACAUGCAAGUCGAACGGAAAGGCCCUGCUUGUGUGGGGUGCUCGAGUGGCGAACGGGUGAGUAACACGUGAGUAACCUGCCCUUGACUUUGGGAGAACUUCAGGAAACUGGGGCUAAUACCGGAUAGGAGCUCCUGCUGCAUGGUGGGGGGUGGAAAGUUUCGGCGGUUGGGGAUGGACUCGCGGCUUAUCAGCUUGUUGGUGGGGUAGUGGCUUACCAAGGCUUUGACGGGUAGCCGGCCUGAGAGGGUGACCGGCCACAUUGGGACUGAGAUACGGCCCAGACUCCUACGGGAGGCAGCAGUGGGGAAUAUUGCACAAUGGGCGGAAGCCUGAUGCAGCAGCGCCGCGUGCGGGAUGACGGCCUUCGGGUUGUAAACCGCUUUCGCCUGUGACGAAGCGUGAGUGACGGUAAUGGGUAAAGAAGCACCGGCUAACUACGUG
rnacentral:rRNA from 1 species